AUGGGGUAUAAGGUCAUGAACCACGCUUCAGCCACUAAACUCAUGGAAUGGGACCUUCCCUGCUUUAGAUCUGACUACUCCUCCCCCAGCAACCACUACAAAUCAGCCUUGUCCAGAAAGACAAGCGGCACCACCAAUGUUAUUGGAGGACAAACUGGUACCAUCAGCCGGGUAGAGGAACAGAGACGUCACAAUAUAGAAGGAAAUAACAUCCAGGUGCUUUCCAAGCCAUCUGACGCUGAGCCUACUCCCACUAAGAUGCCCCCCUUCUUCCCCCUGCCUCCUUUCCCGCCUCCACCCUACAAUGUCAACUCUGCCCCUCCACUCAUUCCUCCACCACGCUACCCUCCUGGAGCACCCCCGCCCUCUCUGAUCCCUACCUUAGACAGGAUGCGCUACAGGGGCAGUAGGAGUAGAAGCAGGAGAGGGAGUAAAGACACGGACAGAGAGAGAGAAGAGCGAGACCACUGCUACUCCACAACCAGGCAAGACAUAGUGAAAAAGAUAGGGUAGAAAGAUACAAAUCAGGAGAUUGUUGUACGUAGAGAGAUUAUUGACAGUACAGUUUAAGUGAUAGACAGCUACAGAGGUAGGAUCUUAAUUUGAUACCUCUUUUAUUGCUGAGAAUUUGUGUGCACCACAGGAAAUGUAGAUGAGCUUUGUGAUUUACAUAAAUUACCUGAAAACCCACGCUAACACAUGGUUAUAUUAACAGUAUUGAACCUUUCAUGUAGCCUAUUUUGGGCCAGCUAAUAGCCUUAUCACAGCUCAGGCAACAUAAUAGACGGGUUGGUGGGGUUGGCUUAGACUGUGAACAACGUGUAAACUAUAUUUCGUCUCCAUAAAUAUAUUUGCACAAUGAGCACUUGUUGUCUCUCAUACAGCAUUACAUUUGUUGGUUAGCUAGCUUGAGAAUUUUUGACAUAUUAGCAUAGACAUGACAUCAAUCAAAACACCUCAGAAUAAGACAUGGUAUCAAUUGAUUCAACGAGCUGAAACGACCCACCUACAAUUCCCAACAUGGCAGCUUUUUUGUCAUGGUUGCUAGCUAUCUGACCGUUCAGAUCAUAACAAUGAACGCCUUCCGGCCACAUUGAUGCACACACAUCAUUUUCGUGACGUUGUCAGCCAACCCGUAUAUGGACUAAACGUUCAAAUCCUGUUGCUGCAGGAUUAUUCUACUGUGACAAUAUACACUGAGUUUACAACACAUUAAUAACACCUUCCUAAUAUUCAGUUGCACUCCCUCCUUUUUUUUAAUCCUCAGAACAGCCUCAAUUUGUCAGGGCAUGGACUCUAAAAGGUAUCGAAAGCAUUCUACAUGGAUUGCUGGCCCAAUGCUUCCCAUAGUUGUGUCAAGUUGACUGGAUAUUUUUUGGUUGGUGGACCAUUCUUGAUACACAUGGGAAACUGUUGUCGUGUUGUUGACUAUCAUUAAUUGUGAAAACUGUUUCUUAUCAAGUCAUUUCUCUGUCAUUUAAUUACGCGAUUAAACUAAUCAUUUAACUUUAAUUAACCAGGAUUCGGGGCACCGCAGGAAUAUGUUGUUUAUAGAGUUUCAAUUCCCAAAUAUAACUCUUCAGAUAUUUUCAUAUCUUAUCGAGUACAGUCUUGUAUUAAUGUAUUAUUAUUACCUCAUCAGUCAUAUUCUUGAUACGUCACAAACCCUUGGAUAUCUGCACAAACCCUAGCCUAAAUCAUGAAUCAGUGACAUACAAAUUGGUUCAAUUAUUUAUUUACUAACUAACUAAACAAAUCACAUAAAUACAUAAAUAAACAAUAUAGUUAUUGGUUACUAACACAAUGCAUUGAUAAGUCCCUAGUGGGCUAAACCAGUAUGACGGCUUGGUAGACAAGGGAAAGGGGUGGGAUGGAUAAAGAGUGGGAAAGACAAAAUGGAUUCCCUACACACAGUUGAUAAUUAUAUUAAUUGAAAUGCUAAUCAUUUGCACAUGAAUGGCCGCUCAUUCUAAAAUAAUUGCCAUAUUUAUGCCCGUAUGUCGUUGUUGUCUUCUAUAUUGGAAUCGCCUGUCCAUCUGCUGGAGAGUCAGUUCAUCAGAGAGUCUCUGGUUAACUUCCCCAGAAGUCACAAUGUCUUUCAUGGUUGUAGCUUUCUCAGCGACUCUGGAUAGUGUCUGUUGUAAUGGAUACAUCAGGCGUACAGAUGGUUGUUGCAUAGAAUAGAUGCAUAAUUUCCAGCUGCAGACUGGUAAUUCUACAUCUAGGAUUUGUUCUUAUUCUGUAGUGAUCGAUAGUCUCAGAGUUGAACAAUUUUCGGCCGUGUAACCAACACUACACACUGUCUGGUCUCCUGGGCCUAUAGAGUGGUAGCCAUUUCAAUGUGGGGACUCCGUCCCGGUUUGUAGAUUUCUUAACAAUUCCAACAUGUAGCGACAGCUCCAUAUUUUCUGGUCUAAUGUAAAUUUAUUCAGGAAUGGGUUUUAUACACUUCUGAGAAAAGGGCGGUCCAUGAUGCCGACGUAAUGUCUCACGUGGGCGUGGCUACUGAUUUGGUUAAAGCUUCAUAUGGAAACCCAUACUCUCAUUUAGAAGGCUAACAUCACAUUUAAUCUUUUCACAAAUAGUUUCAUAUGUACUCAUAUACGUUUCACAACAUUUAGAUAGAUGUAAACACCAUAAUUGAGAAGUGGACACAACCAAAGUCACAUUAAUGUCUGUUUCCUCUCCGUCAUAAGAUCACCAAAUGAAACAAACUCGAUGACUGUCCCUUAAGUGUCCACGGACCACUCCCACACUCUCAAAAAUAUUGUUUACUUAUUCAAACUUUUGAUGUCCAAGGGUCUCUCUGUGUUCCACAGUUUACAUUCCAACUUGAACACUACAGAGCAUAGAGGCAGCGUAUUUUACGACCGCCAUAAAACAGCCGACUUCCCGCUCAACCCCUCUACGAGAGAGAGUACGCUGUAGAGCAAACCCACUGUAACCUGAUCCUUCAGAUCGUCACAGGAGAGUUAUGACACUGUUGACCGUGAAAAACCCACCAGCGUUGCAGUUCUUGACACAUUCAAACCGGCGAGCUUGGCACCUAUCACCAUACCCCGUUCAAAGGAACUUAAAAAAAGUUAAAAUCCUUAAGGGGAUCAUAGCUUAAAAAUCCUUAAGGGGAUCAUAGCUUUCACCUUGACUCACCUGGUCAGUCGAUGUCAUGUUGUUCUUAAUGUUUUGUACACUCAGUGUAGGUCAAAUUAAGAUCCUAAAUCGGUAGCAUUGAUUGACUGACAGGGAUAAACGUUGAGUAGAAAUAAAGAGUUGAGGUAAGUAUUGUCUGGAGUAAUGUGUCCAGCCUGUCCACAGACAGAGGGAACAUUUUAAUACUUAUUUGGCUCCUUUUUUAAAAAUGUACUGACGCCAGGCACCGUUCAUUGUGCUCCAUCCCUGACCUUGUAGUUGGAUGAGUGGCCAAAUAAGGCUGUUAAACCAGGAGAGUAGUCUCCUGUUUGUGACUGGAAUCUCCUGUUUAUCAGUUACUAUCCAACGCAUCCCUCCGUCCCUCCCUUGUUCCCACUCCCUCCUUAACAAAACAUUGCCGAAGUCACAACCUCUCUGCAUAUUCCCACCACAGCUCAGCUUGGAUUUAAACCACUUAAAUCACCACAGGGCCGCGUUCUGCUGCAGGCCCAGGCUCUCUGGAGGUUCCUACAUGGGCUAAUUGCAUCGUUGCCUUUUAUUCUGUUGCUUUAUUUAUUUUGGAUGGUGGAUCUAUCUACCCACUGUGGAUUUAGUGAUUUCUCUUUCUUCUUAUCUCUUUUUUCUUAGUCUGUCUCUCCUGCUUCCUGGCUGUCUGUUUUUCAGUCUUUCUCUUCUUCUAAAUAAAAAUGUUCCCCUUUCCCCUAAUUUGCUGUAUCUAUCUGUGUCUGAAUUCAAUCACCACUCACCAGUUUCCAGUCUAAAGGAUGGUUCCUCUCACAUCUCUGUCCUCUGCCAAAUCGUCUCAUCCUUCAAGGGCUUUCCGUUUGUCUGAACUCUGCCAGCCAUCUCUACUCGCAUUUAUGAAUAAUUUCCUCUUUUACCAUUACUUCAAAAGUCUCUCUUCGUACUGAUCCACACCACACACACACACACACACACACACACCACACACACACAACACACACAACACAAACACACACCACACACACACACACAGUGGGGCAAAAAGUAUUUAGUCAGCCACCAAUUGUGCAAGUUCUCCCACUUAAAAGAUGGGAGAGGCCUGUAAUUUACUCAUAG
ensembl:lncRNA